rnacentral:rRNA from 1 species
GACGAACGCUGCGGCGUGCUUAACACAUGCAAGUCGAGCGAUGAAGCUUCUUCGGAAGUGGAUUAGCGGCAGACGGGUGAGUAACACGUGGGUAACCUGCCUCAUAGAGGGGAAUAGCCUUCCGAAAGGAAGAUUAAUACCGCAUAAGAUUGUAAUAUCGCAUGAUAUAGCAAUUAAAGGAGUAAUCCGCUAUGAGAUGGACCCGCGUCGCAUUAGCUAGUUGGUGAGGUAACGGCUCACCAAGGCGACGAUGCGUAGCCGACCUGAGAGGGUGAUCGGCCACAUUGGGACUGAGACACGCCCCGGACUCCUACGGGAGGCAGCAGUGGGGAAUAUUGCACAAGGGGGGAAACCCUGAUGCAGCAACGCCGCGGGAGUGAUGACGGUCUUCGGAUUGUAAAGCUCUGUCUUUAGGGACGAUAAUGACGGUACCAAAGGAGGAAGCCACGGCUAACUACGUGCCAGCCGCCGCCGCAGUAA